rnacentral:lncRNA from 1 species
GUCAUCGUCAGCAUUCAUAACCAGCGCUGAGAGGCGUUGGUGGUGAGAAUCCAGCCCUGGUGCAGCUCCAGGUGACUGCUGCCUUCUCCCAGAGCCUCAGCACACACUGCAUGAACAUCACCAUGCAGGGGCUGCCAUCACUCUGCUGGAUAACCAGAUUCGCUAAGGUAAAAACUGUCUGGCUUAUUGUUACACCUGAACAAAUUCCAAGUAAAAGGCAUUUGAGGGAGGCCACAGCAGUCACCAAGGAUGUGCAGAUGAGAUGAUGGCAUACAGCUGGGAACUUCAAGCUGAGUUAGCACUGAAAAUUUGGAUCCUGCCAGUCCCAGACAGCAAUUUAUCACAUUCCCUCCCUGCUCAUCCUCUCUAAUAUACCAUCGUGAUGGUGAAUGUCACUUGCUCAGGAAGGACAAGCCUUCAUCAAAACUGUGCUGGAGCAAUCGAAGAGCAGAUUGGGACCUACCUUGCAGAGAAGAAAAGGGGAUGAGGAAUCUGCUUACACCAUUAUAUUGACCUUCUGCUUUGGGUGCAAUAAAAAUCUGGAGGAGAUCAAACUCUGGCUCAUUUGGCACAGGAAAACCAAGCAACCAUGCAGGACUGGAAACCUCUAG